UACGUAGGGGCCGAGCGUUGUCCGGAGUUACUGGGCGUAAAGCGCGCGCAGGCGGCCAUCUAAGCCCAGCGUGAAAGCCCCCGGCUCAACCGGGGAGGGUCGUUGGGGACUGGCUGGCUUGAGGGCGGCAGGGGCCGGUGGAAUCCCCGGUGUAGUGGUGAAAUGCGUAGAGAUCGGGGGGAACACCCGUGGCGAAGGCGGCCGGCUGGGCCGACCCUGACGCUGAGGCGCGAAGGCGUGGGGAGCGAACGGG
rnacentral:rRNA from 1 species